UACGAAGGGGGCUAGCGUUGCUCGGAAUUACUGGGCGUAAAGGGCGCGUAGGCGGACGUCUAAGUCAGAGGUAAAAGCCCAGGGCUCAACCUUGGAACUGCCUUUGAUACUGGACAUCUUGAGUACGGGAGAGGUGAGUGGAACUCCGAGUGUAGAGGUGAAAUUCGUAGAUAUUCGGAAGAACACCAGUGGCGAAGGCGACUCACUGGCCCGUUACUGACGCUGAGGCGCGAAAGCGUGGGGAGCAAACAGG
rnacentral:rRNA from 1 species